rnacentral:rRNA from 1 species
UUGACCUCGGAUCAGGUAGGAAUACCCGCUGAACUUAAGCAUAUCAAUAAGCGGAGAAAAA